rnacentral:rRNA from 1 species
GAUCAUGGCUCAGGAUGAACGCUGGCGGCGUGCUUAACACAUGCAAGUCGAACGAAGCUAAGGGAGCUUGCUCCCAAAGCUUAGUGGCGGACGGGUGAGUAACGCGUGGGUAACCUGGCCCUAUAGAGGGGGAUAACGUUCGGAAACGAACGCUAAUACCGCAUAACCAUAAGGAGCUGCAUGGCUCUGAUGGCAAAGAUUUAUCGCUAUAGGAUGGACCUGCGUUGGAUUAGCUAGUUGGUGAGAUAACAGCUCACCAAGGCGACGAUCCAUAGCCGGCCUGAGAGGGUGAACGGCCACAUUGGGACUGAGACACGGCCCAAACUCCUACGGGAGGCAGCAGUGGGGAAUAUUGCACAAUGGGCGCAAGCCUGAUGCAGCGACGCCGCGUGAAGGAAGAAGGUCUUCGGAUUGUAAACUUCUAUCAGCAGGGAAGAAUAAAUGACGGUACCUGACUAAGAAGCCCCGGCUAACUACGUGCCAGCCGCCGC